rnacentral:rRNA from 1 species
AGCAGCCGCGGUAAUUCCAGCUCCAAUAGCGUAUAUUAAAGUUGUUGCAGUUAAAAAGCUCGUAGUUGAAUUUCGGGAUUAGUACGUUGGUCGUGCCUUCGGUACGUACUGGUGUUACUGAUUCCUACCUUCUGACGAACCAUCAUGUCAUUUAUUUGGUGUGGCGGGGAAUCAGGACUGUUACUUUGAAAAAUUAGAGUGUUUAAAGCAGGCUCGCGCUUGAAUACAUUAGCAUGGAAUAAUGAAAUAGGACGUUGACCCUAUUUUGUUGGUUUCUAGGAUUGACGUAAUGAUUAAUAGGGAUAGUUGGGGGCAUUAGUAUUCAAUUGUCAGAGGUGAAAUUCUUGGAUUUAUUGAAGACUAACUACUGCGAAAGCAUUUUUGCCAAGGAUGUUUUCAUUAAUCAAGAACGAAAGUUAGGGGAUCGAAGACGAUCAGAUACCGUCGUAGUCUUAACCAUAAACUAUGCCGAACUAGGGAUCGGAUGAUGUUAAUUUUUAAUGACUCAUUCGGCGCCUUACGGGAAACC